rfam:Aspergillus bombycis strain NRRL26010 contig00007, whole genome shotgun sequence.
GGGCUUGUGGUUUAGUGGUAUAACGCUCCAUUCGCAUUGGAGAGGUCCCGGUUUCGAUUACCGGCGAGUCCA